rnacentral:rRNA from 1 species
UACGUAGGGGGCUAGCGUUGUCCGGAAUCAUUGGGCGUAAAGCGCGUGUAGGCGGUCCGGUAAGUCCGCUGUGAAAGUCGGGGGCUCAACCCUCGGAUGCCGGUGGAUACUGUCGGGCUGGAGUACGGAAGAGGCGAGUGGAAUUCCUGGUGUAGCGGUGAAAUGCGCAGAUAUCAGGAGGAACACCAAUUGCGAAGGCAGCUCGCUGGGACGUUACUGACGCUGAGGCGCGAAAGCGUGGGGAGCAAACAGG